CGCGUAGGCGGUUUGUCGCGUCAGGUGUGAAAGCCCCGGGCUCAACCUGGGAUGUGCAUCUGAUACGGGCAGACUUGAGAGCGGGAGAGGAGUGUGGAAUUCCCAGUGUAGAGGUGAAAUUCGUAGAUAUUGGGAAGAACACCAGUGGCGAAGGCGGCACUCUGGCCCGUUUCUGACGCUGAGGCGCGGAAGCGUGGGGAGCAAACA
rnacentral:rRNA from 1 species